CCGCGCUGGAAUCAUCCCGGGCUGACGCUCACAAGUCCGGGGCCCGGUGCACCCAGGACGCGAUCUUCCCAGAUGUCCUUCACUGCGACGCCGGGACACCACGGACCCUGGGUGCAUCCACAGCGGAGGACGUGAGUUGGGUCCCGGGCGACUACUUCUCCCCCUCCUGCCUUCGAGAUCUCCAUCCAGAACCGCUUCGCUCCCCUCCGCGAGACAGGACGCGACGCUGUGAUCAUCGGAGACUCCAUCGUCCGACACAUACCCGCGAUCCUGAAGGACGG